CAGCGGAAAUGAAUCUGACUAGGAACCAUGAGGUUUCGGGUUCGAUCCCUGGCCUCGCUCAGUGGGUUAAGGAUCUGGCAUUGCUGUGAGCUGUGGUGUAGGUCACAGAUGUGGCUUGGUUCCCAAUUGCUGUGGCUGUGGAGUAGGCUGGCAGCUGUAGCUCCGAUUCAACCCCUAGCCUGGGAACCUCCAUAUGCCGCAGGUACAGCCCCAAAAGGAAAAAAAGACAAAAAAAAAAAAGUUAUGUAAACUAAUACUCCUCCUUAUAAAUUAUUCUGCAUUUAAUUUUAAUUUAGGUGCUAGAUUUUUUAAUUGAACCAAUAUCUGCAAUUAUUAUUGUGUUCUUUAAUAUCCUCAACCCAAUUCUUCAAGUUUUCCAUGCACUCAAAGUAAAUGCCAGCUUCGAGUCUAAACAAUUGACCUAAUAGUAGAAUUAAUGUAGGGUCAAUGUAUUAAAUGCUAUCUCUCCAGAAAGAUUUGAUUAUUGUAUGGUUGUUGGCUGAGGGAUCAUCUUUACUUUGAAACUUUUUUGGUCAGUGACUAUUUGCAUGACUUGGCUGGUACUGAAUUGGUUGCUUCUGCUCUCUGUGCUAUAAAGGUGUCCAGUCUAACUAGCUUCAUAUUAAGAUAGAUACAAGGGCAUCACAGGAAGGACAUUUUCCUGGCCAUCGGUAUGGUUCUCAUUUAACGUCCUUAACCUUAUAGGUGAAUUUCUGUCCUACUAGGUUUACCAGGGGCUGGGAAACUAAAAAGGGACUAUAAAUAUGCCAUGCCUUAGGUUGAAUAUGGCUUUAAUCUCCCAGAUAGAAUCCUAGCAUGUUUCAAAAGAAUUUACUACUAAUCCAAUAGAAUAAACAUAUAUGUUAACCUUUAAAGCCAUAAAUACUCCUUUUUUUCUAAUUAUGUGUAACCUAGAAACAUGAAGCUAAACCUCGUUUGUCAGUUAUGAUAUUGUUCAUACAACUCAUUUAUCUUCGUGAAAACUACAGCUGAAAUUAUAAAUACCACUUCUAUUGAAUAUACUUGUAUUUAUUUGGCCUAGAAUAUUUUAUAAAGGACAGGGCUUUGUGCACUAACUACUUAGAUGACUAAGUCCUUAAGAAAUAAUACCCACAGAUGUUUCAUCACAUAUCUCUUUGGAUGGAUUGAUGUGGGGAAACUUUUCUCAUACAAACUCAUAUUCAUGCAUAUUUCUGUUGGAGAAUUCCAGUUAAUCACUGCUGUAUGGCUACCUUUCCAUUGACUAAGAUCACCUUAAUGUCCAAGCAGGGACAUAUUCUUAUUUUUCUAGGCUCAGGGCAAGUCCAUUUUCUCUGCAGAAUUUUCCUCAAUACUUAACCAAAAAAAUGGGUUUGAUGAGUUGGGUAUGGAUAUGUGGAAACAUUUUUUCCUCUUUUUUUUAUGAGCAUGUGGUCUGUAUAUUUAUUUAUUUAUUACAGAACUGAUAGCAUUUUCUCUCUCUCUCUCUUGCUUUUUUUAGGGGGAAGGCUGCACUCAUGGCAGCAUAUGGAAGUUCCCAGGCUAGGAACUGAAUCAGAGGUACCAGCCUGCACCACAGCCACAACCAAGUGGGAUGCAAGACAUAUCUGCAACCUACACCACAGCUCAUAGCAAUGCCGGAUCCUUAACGGACUGAGCGAGGCCAGGGAUAGAAUGUGUGUCCUCAUGGCUACUAGUCAGGUUCGUUACCACUGAGCCACAACAGGAAUUUCGUAUUCUCUUUUAUACUACAGUUAUUAAUGCUGGCCUUGAGGGGAAAAAAGAAAACUAUUUACUUAGUUAAAAUUGUUAUCCUUUCUUUCCAUACCUAGCAGAGAACUUGCACAUAGCAAAUGCCUAGAAGGUCUGAAUCCAAUCAUAUUGUUUAUAAUUUCUAAAACGGGUACCCUUAAAAAUAUUUUCCAAUGGCCUUUCAAUAUUCUUACCCUGAUGCAAAGAAGAAUAAAGGCUACUUCCCUAAAAUCUCUGUGGGUAACUAGGUGCCUGAGAAAAUUCUUUAGGCAGCUGCAAAUAGUCAAAAAUAUUAAAUUGAAUUUUCAAGAAAAGCUCCUUAAAGUUAGAUAUCUAUAAGUUUGUAGUGUUGGUUUGUUAAGCACCAGAGAUCAUGCCAGAAACAGAAACUCAAGGAUCACUUUUCUUGAAUUCAAUUCUCAAGAUCUUGGUUCAUAUUACAUUAACUAAACUUGAGUCAAGUCAAAUUGAAUUGCCACAGACACUUGCCCCCAAAUUCUGCUUCUCCCCAUCCUAGGCCAAGACCUUUGUUGGCUCUGCCAGAAACUAAAAGUACUUGGGCAGAAACACAAAUGGACUGAAGGAUAAGGGUAGACAUAAGUUCUAUUAUUAACCCCCACCCUUGUUAUCUAUGUGUUAAAAUCUGACUCAUUCUCUUCCGUAAAAAAUAAUUAAACACAGUGUUUAUUUUCAAGGUGUCAGGUAUAGUGUGGGUAGGUACUUGAAAUUUUCUGUGCAUGUCUCUGCAAACACACCUGGCUUGUAAUGGACAUCGCAUUUUGAUCGUCCAUCACUCUGAAACUAAGGCUGCCUAACAAGGUUUGACAGUUGGGGUGGCAAAUUAGAAGAUUUUUAUAUGUUCAAAUGGGGAUAAGGCUGGAGCUGCCAAAGUUGUACUCACUUGUGACCUAAAUAUCCAAGAAAGAAAAAGCCAAUGCCAUUAAAAAUUGUGUCAUCUCCUCUCCAUGAUUCAAUAAUGAAAGCUUACCGGCCAGCAGACUGUCAGCUGCAUUCUGUUUAAUCAUUGGAAAUUGUGUGCACUAUAUCUGUGAAGCCUAAAUGGAAAAAGUUGCCACUGCAAUUGCAUCUUCUUCCUACCAAUAAAUCAAUGUAGAGGAAGUAGAGAGAAAGAAGGCCACCUGACAGCUUUCCAUCAGAACACCAAUCAUAAAUUAGCACUCACAGAGAACAUGUCACAUAACAACUGUCUCUCAGGGACUCUGAGUUAAGCAAUGAAAGAGAUGCUGUAGUUUUAAAAGGUUGCGAUUCCAGACAUCUCAGACCUGGAUUUCAUGAAGGCAAAGGAAACCACCCAGUGAGAAAGUUCACUCUAUCUCUGAAGGUAAAGCUGUCUACCUUCCCUCAUUUUUGACACUUGGGAUGCUUAAGAGGAUGAUAGGUUUUAUAGCUGCAACUAGACCGACCUUGAUCUCUUUCACUGAUAGCAUUUCUUAAGACUCUCCCCAUAAUGCAAGGCAAGUUCAUUGUUUUCUCAUUUUUUGAAAGAAAGCACCACUGUGUAAAAUAUGAUUUUCAACUUGAUGGCAGCAUGCCUCAGUGAUUUAGGUGGUAUUGAAUUCUUGCAUAAGUUCACUGUAUAAACCCAGAAAAAGAAUGCUGCUUUGACAGCAAGAGAAGGAAAGUUUCCUUCCUAAAUCAUUAGGUUAGAAACAUACUUAUUCAAAACAUACACUGAAUUCCACAUUUCUUGGAUUUGGCAUAUGGAGUUUAAAAGAGUUAGAUAUAAGACUAAAUGAAUCCAUAUUUUAAAGAAAAUUUUUAAAAAAUGCAUAAUUAAAAUCCAAAUUUUACAAAAUCACUAUUAAUCUGGUAAAUAUUUAAAGAUAUGAAGUCACAAAUUUUAUAAUAAUGUAACAAAAACAACAGGUUUCCUUUCCUUUUUCUUCAAUACCUGCAAAUUUCCAAAUCUCUUUCACCUCUUGCUUUCUAUAUUGUUUUAAUAUAAUAUGAUAUCAUAUACUUAUUUUUUAAGACUAAAAAUGGUAUGGAAAAUAAUGAGGUAUCACAGUAUCUCUAACUUUACAAAUGUGUAACCCGGGAAUGGGAUGUCUAUGCUCAAAAGACUCAAAUUAUAUCAUAUUUUGAUAAGGAUUAUUAGGAACUUUCUCUCACAUUUCAGUAUUCUAUUCCAGAAGAACAUGCAAAUGGUCCCUUAAAAUAAAAACAACUCAGAGUUAUAAGAGAUCUCAGAACUCAUGAAUUUCACCUUGUACCUAAUAUGAGAAUAUUCUUCAGACAGCCCUGACAAUGGUAAUUGGCCCUCUGCUUGAACAUUUCCAAUGAAAGGGUAUGCAUUACUUCAAAGGGAUGCUAUUCUGUCACUGGAUAAUUAUAGUCGUUAAAAAUAUUUUGCCUUUUAUCAAGAGAAAUAUAAAUUAAAAAAGUAAAAUUUUGUCUGUGCUUUUGGUGUGUCAGCCAGGGGCUCUGGGGCCCUUUCUUUCAUCACUGCACAUCUUUCCAGUUGAAAAUCAACCUCCAGAACUGAAUAAUUACCUCAGGUGUAGAUUGACCAAUGCAAAUAAACUGAAGGCUACUAGCUCAUUUAAUCUUAAAAGCAAACUUCAUUCAUAUUACAACUUCUCGUUAUUUUGUAUCACAAAUGGGGUUCUGGAAUUAGAUGUCACUCUCAAGUGGGGAAUUAAGGAAACCUUAAAAGGGACUGUUACAAAGUGUGGGCAGUGUUAUGGAUAAUCAAUAAGAAUUAGUGACGCUCUCUGGGCCUUGCAACAGAGAAGAGCUUUUACCUUCCUUAGGCCUGAAGAGGCAAGUGGAGAGCGUGUUUACUGUCACCCAGUGAGCAUAGUUGUAGGAAAGGGUUGCUUGUCAGGAGCUGUGGACUUUGGUAGAGACCAAAGUGGCCCAGCCGGAAGGAGUUAAGAAAUUAAAUGGCCUGUUCAUCUGUGUUCCUGCCUUCUGAUCUGUUUAUACCUCUUUUUCAUUAAAUGCAACUAGAAGCCAGAAACCGAAGUUCACUGACACAGUACACAAAGAUCAGAUUCCCUGGGCACAGAGACAGGUAGAAAAAGGUGAAGAGUGGAUAAGAAAGAGCAAAGAGGAACCUCCACAUGCAGCAGGUGUGGCC
rnacentral:lncRNA from 1 species